UACAGAGGUCUCAAGCGUUGUUCGGAUUCAUUGGGCGUAAAGGGUGCGUAGGCGGCGCGUUAAGUCGGGUGUGAAAUCCCGGAGCUUAACUCCGAAACUGCAUUCGAUACUGCCGUGCUUGAGGACUGGAGAGGAGACUGGAAUUUACGGUGUAGCGGUGAAAUGCGUAGAUAUCGUAAGGAAGACCAGUGGCGAAGGCGGGUCUCUGGACAGUUCCUGACGCUGAGGCACGAAGGUCAGGGGAGCAAACGGG
rnacentral:rRNA from 1 species